rnacentral:rRNA from 1 species
UCGAACGAGAAAGCGGGGGCAACUCCGUGAGUAAAGUGGCGACCGGGUGAGUAACACGUGACUAACCUACCCUCUAGUGGGGAACAACCUCGGGAAACCGGGGCUAAUACCGCAUAACAUCCGUGGGCGAAAUUCCUGCGGAUCAAAGGAGCAAUUCGCUGGAGGAGGGGGUCGCGGCUGAUUAGCUAGUUGGCGGGGUAACGGCCCACCAAGGCGAUGAUCAGUAGCCGGCCUGAGAGGGCGCACGGCCACACUGGAACUGAAACACGGUCCAGACUCCUACGGGAGGCAGCAGUGGGGAAUUUUGCGCAAUGGGGGAAACCCUGACGCAGCAACGCCGCGUGGAGGAUGAAGUCCCUUGGGACGUAAACUCCUUUCGACCGGGACGAAUAAUGACGGUACCGGUGGAAGAAGCCCCGGCUAACUUCGUG